AACGCACCUUGCGCCCCUUGGUAUUCCGAGGGGCACACCCGUUUGAGUGUCGUGAAAUUCUCAACCUUCUCGGUUUCUUCUGGACACCGAAGGAGGCUUGGACUUUGGAGGCCUUUGCUGGAACCUUUCUCUCUUGAAAGCCAGCUCCUCUUAAAUGAAUUAGCGGGGUCCUCUUUGCUGAUCCUCGACAUGUGAUAAGAUGUUUCCAUGUCUUGGUUUCUGGCUCUGUUGCUUUUGGGACCUGCUUCUAACCGUCUCAAACUUGCAUCGAGACAAUGUUUGAGCGUGUCUCCCUCCUCGGGAAACUCUCUCAACACCACGAACCCUUGACCUCAAAUCGGGUGAGACUACCCGCUGAACUUAA
rnacentral:misc_RNA from 1 species